rnacentral:rRNA from 1 species
UACGGAGGGUGCAAGCAUUAAUCGGAUUUAUUGGGCGUAAAGGGCGCGUAGGCGGGAAUGAAAGUCAGAUGUGAAAUCCCGAGGCUUAACCUCGGAACAGCAUUUGAAACUCCAUUUCUUGAGGCUAGAAGGAGAAAACGGAAUUCCACAAGUAGCGGUGAAAUGCGUAGAUAUGUGGAAGAACACCGGUGGCGAAGGCGGUUUUCUAUUUUAGACCUGACGCUGAGGCGCGAAAGUAAGGGGAUCAAACAGG